rnacentral:rRNA from 1 species
GAUGAACGCUAGCGGGAGGCCUAACACAUGCAAGCCGAGCGGUAUUUGUUCUUCGGAACAGAGAGAGCGGCGCACGGGUGCGGAACACGUGUGCAACCUGCCUUUAUCUGGGGGAUAGCCUUUCGAAAGGAAGAUUAAUACCCCAUAAUAUAUUGAGUGGCAUCACUUGAUAUUGAAAACUCCGGUGGAUAGAGAUGGGUACGCGCGAGAUUAGCUAGUUGGUGAGGUAACGGCUCACCAAGUCAAUGAUCUUUAGGGGGCCUGAGAGGGUGACCCCCCACACUGGUACUGAGACACGGACCAGACUCCUACGGGAGGCAGCAGUGAGGAAUAUUGGACAAUGGGUUAGCGCCUGAUCCAGCCAUCCCGCGUGAAGGACGACGGCCCUACGGGAUGUAAACUUCUUUUGUAUAGGGAUAAACCUACUCUCGUGAGAGUAGCUGAAGGUACUAUACGAAUAAGCGCCGGCUAACUCCGUG